rnacentral:rRNA from 1 species
CCUACGGGUGGCAGCAGUCGAGAAUCAUUCACAAUGGGGGAAACCCUGAUGGUGCGACGCCGCGUGGGGGAAUGAAGGUCUUCGGAUUGUAAACCCCUGUCAUGUGGGAGCAAAUUAAAAAGAUAGUACCACAAGAGGAAGAGACGGCUAACUCUGUGCCAGCAGCCGCGGUAAUACAGAGGUCUCAAGCGUUGUUCGGAAUCACUGGGCGUAAGGCGUGCGUAGGCUGUUUCGUAAGUCGUGUGUGAAAGGCGCGGGCUCAACCCGCGGACGGCACAUGAUACUACGAGACUAGAGUAAUGGAGGGGGAACCGGAAUUCUCGGUGUAGCAGUGAAAUGCGUAGAUAUCGAGAGGAACACUCGUGGCGAAGGCGGGUUCCUGGACAUUAACUGACGCUGAGGCACGAAGGCCAGGGGAGCGAAAGGGAUUAGAUACCCGUGUAGUC